AUUGAACGCUGGCGGCAUGCUUUACACAUGCAAGUCGAACGGUAACAGGGAGCUUGCUCCGCUGACGAGUGGCGAACGGGUGAGUAAUGCGUCGGAACGUACCGUGUAAUGGGGGAUAACGUAGCGAAAGUUACGCUAAUACCGCAUACGCCCUGAGGGGGAAAUGGGGGACCGCAAGGCCUCACGUUAUACGAGCGGCCGAUGUCGGAUUAGCUAGUUGGUGGGGUAAAGGCCUACCAAGGCGACGAUCCGUAGCGGGUCUGAGAGGAUGAUCCGCCACACUGGGACUGAGACACGGCCCAGACUCCUACGGGAGCAGCAGUGGGGAAUUUUGGACAAUGGGGGCAACCCUGAUCCAGCCAUGCCGCGUGAGUGAAGAAGGCCCUUGGGUUGUUAAAGGACUCUUUCAGGUGGAAAGGAAAUACUCCCGGGUGAAGU
rnacentral:rRNA from 1 species